AGCAUUUAGUUUCUUGCUUUAGGAAGCGGAAGACUAAUGACCGAAGCUUCAAGACUUUGACAUGUGUGAAAACAUGAAAUGACCCUUGGCUCUUAUUGUUCUUGCUGGUGUGGUAUGUUCACGGCUGAAAAGAUGGUCAGAAGGGGAAAGGAGGAAGUGAGAAGAAAGAAACAGGGAAAUGACAGAGUGUUGCUCAGUUACCCAGGCUGGAGUGCAAUGGCAUGAUCUUGGCUCACUGCAGCCUCCACCUCCUGGGUUCAAGCGGUUCUCGUGCCUCAGUCUCCCAAGUAGCUGGGAUUACAGACGAAAUCUUGCUCUGUUGCCCAGGCUGGAGUGCGAUGGCAUGAUCUUGGCUCACGGCAAACUCCGCCUCCCUGGUUCAAGUGAUUCUCCUGCCUCAGCCUCCCGAGUAGCCGGGAUUACAGGCAUGUGCCACCAUGCCCCGUUGGCCAGGCUGGUCUCGAACACCUUACCUCAGGUGAUCCUCCCACCUUUGGGAUUACAGCAGGCUGAGGAAUUACCAAGGAGGCAGGAGGUGGAGCAAAACACACCAAGCCUGGUGCCAAUCAUUGACAAUAUUAUGACCCUGCAUGUGAUGGAUCAGCUGACACCAUCCAGAUCGGUAAACUGGUUCAUCUGAUCUUGUGCCCUCCACCCAGGAACUGACUCAGCGCAAGAAGACAGCUUCGACUCCUUGUGAUUUCAUCCCUAACCAAUCAGCACUCCUGGCUCACUGGCUUCCCCCAACCCACCAAAUUGUCCUUAAAAACUCUGCUCUCCAAACGCUGGGGGAGACUGAUUUGAGUAAUAAUAAAACCCUGGUCUCCUGCA
rnacentral:lncRNA from 1 species